GAUGAACGCUGGCGGCGUGCCUAAUACAUGCAAGUCGAGCGAAUGGAUUAAGAGCUUGCUCUUAUGAAGUUAGCGGCGGACGGGUGAGUAACACGUGGGUAACCUGCCCAUAAGACUGGGAUAACUCCGGGAAACCGGGGCUAAUACCGGAUAACAUUUUGAACCGCAUGGUUCGAAAUUGAAAGGCGGCUUCGGCUGUCACUUAUGGAUGGACUCGCGUCGCAUUAGCUAGUUGGUGAGGUAACGGCUCACCAAGGCAACGAUGCGUAGCCGACCUGAGAGGGUGAUCGGCCACACUGCGGACGAGACACGGCCCAGACUCCUACGGGAGGCAGCAGUAGGGAAUCUUCCGCAAUGGACGAAAGUCUGACGGAGCAACGCCGCGUGAGUGAUGAAGGCUUUCGGGUCGUAAAACUCUGUUGUUAGGGAAGAACAAGUGCUAGUUGAAUAAGCUGGCACCUUGACGGUACCUAACCAGAAAGCCACGGCUAACUACGUGCCAGCCGCCGCAGUAA
rnacentral:rRNA from 1 species